AUUGAACGCUGGCGGAAUGCUUUACACAUGCAAGUCGAACGGCAGCACGGACUUCGGUCUGGUGGCGAGUGGCGAACGGGUGAGUAAUGUAUCGGAACGUGCCCAGUCGUGGGGGAUAACGUAGUGAAAAUUACGCUAAUACCGCAUACGAUCUAUGGAUGAAAGCGGGGGACCGUAAGGCCUCGCGCGAUUGGAGCGGCCGAUAUCAGAUUAGGUAGUUGGUGGGGUAAAGGCUCACCAAGCCGACGAUCUGUAGCUGGUCUGAGAGGACGACCAGCCACACUGGAACUGAGACACGGUCCAGACUCCUACGGGAGGCAGCAGUGGGGAAUUUUGGACAAUGGGCGCAAGCCUGAUCCAGCCAUUCCGCGUGCAGGAUGAAGGCCCUCGGGUUGUAAACUGCUUUUGUACGGAACGAAAAGGUCCUGGUUAAUACCUGGGGCUCAUGACGGUACCGUAAGAAUAAGCACCGGCUAACUACGUGCCAGCAGCCGCCGUAA
rnacentral:rRNA from 1 species